rnacentral:lncRNA from 1 species
CCCAGAGUGAAAGACAGAGGAACCAAUCGAGGCUCGGCUGACCUCAGACGUCUAAGGCGAUAGGCGUUGCUAAGAAAAGGGGGUGGGACGAUACCCAGUUGCCAAGACGACGGCUUCCGGGUGGGCGGCUUGAGGUGGCUUCCGGCCGCCAGGCGAGACUCCGCGGGAAAACUCCCUGCUAGAGAGACUAGGAGAUUUGGGGCUGCGGCCGUUUCCUCCGGAGCACCCACGGGACUGUGUGCUGGGGUCCCUCCACCGGCUGUGUCCUUUAUUCUUCUUUCUCACCCAACGAUUUACCUGAACGGUUAUAAAGUGCACGUUAUUUCCCUAAGCACUUUGAGUAUAUUGGCCCACUGCAUUCUGGACUUCAAAAUUUCUGAUGCGAAAUAUGCUGAUACUUUUGUUGAAGAAAUCUGGUCCUUCUUACUGAUGUGUUGCUCUUCUUCAUGGCUCGUGAAAACUAUUAGAGUCAUCCAAGGUCCUGACAUCCACUGCCUUCACUCAAACCCUUCUGGCCAGUUCCAUCCUACAGAUUCUAAGUUCCUGACUCAGAAUCUUACUGUUGUGAACCUUUACACCCAGGUUUGGAGACAGAAAGGAGCACCGCCAAGUGAGGCAGAGCAGUCUCAGAAACAUAGGAAAAUGUAAGAAACUUAAGACUUGGAACAGUUUUUUGUUGUUGUUUUUUUUUUUUUUUUUUUUUUUUUUUUAAUUAGAAGAGGAACAAAGGACAUUGGGUCACAGUUUCUAAAAUAAACAUGAGCAUUAGGGCAUAUAUAAUAGCACAAUAUGAACCAAACUGAUAAAAAGCAGUGUCACAAUAUCUAUGAUAUACAUUUAUGGCUUAUAUGAAUUGAACAUUAACUUCAGUUUAAGGAUGCUUAGUCUUCAUUGUUCAUAG